rnacentral:lncRNA from 1 species
ACCAAAGCUUUGGGGGCAGGUGGAAGGCUCUUGGAGACCCCAGUUUUGUAGGACAAAUUCCCCUCUGAUUUGCUCUCCUCUCUUUUCUGUGUUGCUCUUUCCUCUUGUCUUCCCUGUCUGUUGCAGGGAGAGCACAAAGAGGAGGUAGGGCACAAGCACCACCCAUCAAACUCUCAUUUUCUUUCAAGAAAAAAUUACAAUUAUGAAAGAAUAUAUUAUAGCCAACCCACAAUUUUGUGUGACCUUGGGGAUAUGGGAGAGUUAAGUCUAUGGGUGGCCUUCAAAUUACUCUCCACAGUCUAAGUCUAAUUCUAAUCUCUUCUCUCGCUCACCCAGCCUUUCAUGAGAAAAGCAAAAUAGACAUCUGUGUUGGACUGCAGUGUUGUCUACUUCCCCAGCAUCCAUUCACCCCUCUCUCACUGCAGAGCAGCCAUGUUACCUGAGCAGGACUCAACUUCUGGGUUGGUCCCUAAUGGGCUAAGCCAAUGACAGUAUUCUUACCUUCCCUGGCCUCAGUGAUUGGGUAAGGAAAAGGCAUAUAACCCAGCACCAAGCCAAUCAAUGCAUAGGAUUCUCUUGGCCAUGGUGAUUGGCUUGAGAGCUACCUUGUGAUGUAAGUUGGUCCAAUCAGAGAGAAAGUUGGGAUUUGUGGUAAAAGUUGGGAGUAAGAAAAGCCUUUUAAACCUCCGUGGUUAUGAAAAAGGAAGCAUGUGACCCCGGAGGUGCUAGCACACAUUUUGCUAUUGUGAGGGAAUUCAAUCUGAGAAUGGGCCUGAUACAUUAGAAAAGGAGAGUGGAGAGAAUCACAAAGCAAUGUAGCCAAGGAUUAUGAGACAUUACCAACCUCUGGGUGAAACUCCUCCUGAAGCUGACAUUUCCCCUGGGGAUUCCAAUUUCAUGAGUCAAUAGAUUUCCUAUUGGUUAAGUAAUUUUGAGUUUGAUUUUCUGUUAUAUACAGUGGACAGUAUAAUAUCUUUACAUUUGAUUCCUUCUGUUCUUUCAGCUACAGGCCUCGUGAAAGCUUUUGCAGAGUGUAUCUGCAGGCCUGCGUUGGGCAGGGUUCCAGGGGAAGACUGGGCUUCAGAUGAACUCCUCUCCCAGAAGCUUAACUCAGUCCCCAGGGUCAGGCUGGUAGGGGGAGGGAAGGAGGGAGGAGUAAAAGGCCAGAGAAUCCACAUUCUGGAAGGUCAGGCCCUUUCCACUCAGCUGGGCAAACUCUCCCUGCUCAGCCCCGAGUCAGUCUUCAGAGCACCUUUCAGCUCCAGGUACAGAUUCCCCAGACUGGGAUCCAAGACCGACCCUCCUGGACUCAUCUUCCACUGCUCCCCUCUGUGUACCCCACUGCCAGCCAGACUCCAGCACACCACCCCUCUCCUCCCCUGCCCAUCUACUUACUGGGGGUCCCUUUGCCUGGAAACUCCCACUCCUAUCUGUUUGGAUGUCACUCAUCUCUCAAGCCCUGCCUCAACACCACCCCUGAAGCCUCCCCUGACUUUAAUAAUCCACCCAAAACCCUCUUCCUCCUGCGGGAGCUUCAUCUGAAUCUGUGUGAAUUGUGGUUGGGUGGGUGGCAUGAGAAAAUGUGUAGUUUGAAAAGUCAUACUCAACAUGUCUAUUGUUUUUGUCCAUAAACUGCCAAAAGUUAGGUUAACAAACUGCUCUGGAUUAAUGGAAUUAUACUUCAGACAGCAAGAGAAAGCAUUGCUGGGGUCAUAGGCUAAAAAAAAAAUGUUGAGAACUCACACUCUAAUUGAUGAAUCCUCUUCUCUGUUCGACUUCUAAGGGCCCUUGCACCUUUCUGUAGCACUCGAUGGGCCCUGCCUUACACUGCAGUUGUUUGUAUAUUGAUCUUGCUCCUUUGCUAGGUCAUAACCACCACUGACUGGCAGAACUGGGAGGGCCUUGGGAUAUCACCGGAUUCAGGGAUCCACCACCUCUUCUUCACGAGUUGCACGUGAGCAAUGGUUCACCUUUGCAGUGAGCUGCUAAGGUUAUUUUAAAAACUGAGUUUGAAAGCUGUCACCCCUCACCUUUCUUUCAUAUUCAAGAAAGCAUAAAAGAAACUGAGUGAUUCUGGAACAAAGAGGUCACUGCGUGGCUUUUAAAAGGCCUUCGUGAAACCAUGGUCUUGACAGCUUAAUUUGUAGAGAUAAAAUGCUUUUUGUUACAUUUAUGAAACAACUCUUUGCAUCAGCAGCACCAAGCUUGGAGGCCUGGGCAUAGCUUUAAGCUAGGGCUUUGUGUUUGUCCGUUUGCAUUGCUAUAAAGUGAUACCUGAGGCUGGGUAAUUUAUUUAAAAAAGGAGGUAUAUU